rnacentral:misc_RNA from 1 species
AGCAGGGUUAGCUGCGAUAGAGGGUUGCCAGUCGACAUAGGUGUCGACGGUUUGACCUUUAUCGCAGCUAACCCCGCU